rnacentral:rRNA from 1 species
GACGAACUGUCCUAACGUUGUUCGGAAUCACUGGGCUUAAAGGGCGCGUAGGCGGUCGAUCAAGUCAGGGGUGAAAUCCCGCAGCUUAACUGCGGAAGUGCCUUUGAUACUGGUCGUCUUGAGGGAGAUAGGGGUGUGCGGAACUCACAGUGGAGCGGUGAAAUGCGUUGAUAUUGUGAGGAACGCCGGAGGCGAAAGCGGCGCACUGGAUCUCUUCUGACGCUGAGGCGCGAAAGCUAGGGGAGCAAACGGG